AGGCCCCGGGGCCUUGCUGCCAGCCUGCCCCAGGGCUGAGGCCCAGCACCCUGCUCACAGCAGCUCUUUGUGCCCCAAUCUUGCAGGUGCGGGGGUGGCGGGGUCCUUGGCACAGCGUGGCCCUGGACCACAUGUGACAGCCGCUGCUCUGUGCGCCGCCCGCCAAGGCCUCUGUGUGGCAUAAAUGCGGCGCACGGCCGGCUGCGGCAGAGCUCCGGGACCUGCACUCGGACUCUCCUCUGCGCUCCCAGGCUCCGCUCGCCCCACCGGCCCCUGAGAACCCGGACACCGAGGCUGACCAGCCCGUCCCCACGGACCCCGCGGACCCCGCACGGACCCUCCCGGGACCUGCAGCACGCUGCUCGCUGUUCCUUUUUCCUAUGCAUAUACUUCUUUGAGGGUCGGGCCUAAAGAGGUGUAGGGCAUGGGAAAACGGGGCGGCGAGGUCCUCCCGCCCGCAGAGCCUGCUCCGGCCGCCAACCUGUGUCUGGACCUGCCUCCACAUCCCUCACGUAGGAUCCGGGACCCCGAGGCAAGGGGGUCCUGGCCCUCCUUCUCUGGCCAGGGUUGGGGGAGUGGGUAAUCUUUGUUUCUGUGUGUGCCCUGGAGCAGUGGACGGCGUGGUCCAGCCCCACCCACCGGCUGGUCUGCGCCCCCACGUGGUGGGGGGUGCUGUGCAGAUCCCAGCUCUGUGGUGACUCUCGCUGGGGACGCCCUGAAGAGUUACAGAAGGUGCCGGAACAGGAGCUGGGACAGUCCCCUGGGGCCACCGUGGAGCAGGGGUGGGGUGGGGGUGGGUCUGAGUCUGGAUGUGGAGCCAUGAGGGUCUGAUGUGCCGAAAAGCUGGGGGAGGAGCGACUGUCAGGGGUUGGGGGGGAGCUGCUUCCGACAGCGUCACUGCACUUGUGAUGAUGAGUCUGAGUGGAUUUUCUGAUCAGAAAAACCAAUAAAGCUGAUUCUGUGUGAACCGCAGCGUGGAAACCUUACAGCUGGCGCCUCCACCAUGUGUGCUGCAGCUCGUCUGGGCUGCUUGGGGGUCACACCGGUGGUCUUGAGGGGACUUAAUAAAAAACACGUACACAUGAGGGAAUGAAACGACACAACAGCUGGGGGGCCGGCGGGGGGCUUUCUGAUGACCUUUCUGAUGACCAGGGUCAGGGGACCAGGACACGCCCAGGGCAUGACAGUGCCCGACACAGCCCGCCCAGCAGCACUGCCUGGGGCCUGGCCUGCUGCUCUGGGUGGGAGCACCUUGGCCCGGAGCCUGUGGGUCCUAACUCCCUGCUGUAGGAAAAGGGCCAGAGGGAGCCCUGGGAACUGGGAGCUUGAACAGCGGUUGUCAGGCUCUUCGCCCAGCAAGCAGAUCUUCGACAGGUCGACAGGUCGACAGGUCCUUUUAGCAGCGGCAGCCCCAGGCCGGGCUGCACCUCCUCCAGAGAGCCGCAGCUCCUGCGGAAGGUGACGGAAGGGGGUUGGGCCUGCAGCAGGCACGGCAAGCAGGGUGGGCAGCCCCCGAGGCCCUCCCUGCUCAGGCAGCCGCCCACGCCUGCAAUGCCAGAAGGGCGCUGGGGGCUAGCUCUGCUGGUGAGGCUCCCCAUGGGACCCCGGAAAGAACUGAAAAGAAGCAGCUGUCACAACACCCUCAGUGUACGAGCAACAGCAGCACUGAUCCAGACACUUGUGUUCCCUGUGGUGGGGAGACAGGUGGGUUGCAGGCACGGCUGGAUCCAGGGAGCCAAUGGAUCUGCCUUGCUCUGUACCAUUAUCCUUCUGUUGGCAGCUGCAGGGCAUGGUUCCUGGGCCCAGAGAGGGAAACCCCUCAGGGUCACUGCCACCUGGCUGGGGCGUGUCCUCCCUGGGUUCUGGACAUGUCCUCGCCACAGGGGCAGGGUCCCUUGUGGGCAGCUCCCAGGCAGGGAGAUAGGCCUGGGAGGUUGGGCAGAGAAGUCCUGUGCAUCCUGUGUCAGCUCUGGCUCAGCUGAGGGGCAGGAAGAGGCAGCCCGGCGCCAGGAUUGGGGCUGGGAGGCCCUUGGAAAUGCCAGGUGACACCCCUACAGGCCAUCAGUCCUGGGGGGGACCUUUGACCCACUGAUGGUGGGGUGGGAUUCCAGGGGCUCCAGGUGAACAAGCCUGUCCCUCAAGCCUCACCGUGGCCUCCCUGGGGAGGGAUCUCCCUCCACCUGCCCCCUUGCCACUUUCAGCAACUGCCAGACUGGGAGCGGGGGCCUUAAUGGCCUGGGAGAGGGAUGAGGCCCAGCCUUCCAGCUUCGGAGGCCUGGGUGGUGGGGCGCCUGCGUGCAGCCCCAGCCUCGUGUGCCCUCGUCCUCCCGGUCCUGGCUCCUGGAUGUGGUCCUGGGGGCGGCAGGCCCUUUGCCACCGGGUGCUGCUGAGCUGGGCUGAGGGUGGAGAGUGUCAGAUUUUUAUUGUCUUGGGUUGGGGUUGUGGGGCUGGGUCUUUCCCACGCCCCUAAGAGAGGCUUGGGGGGCUGCAUCUCUUCAGCAAGUCCACAAUUUCCACUCUGCUUGUGGGGCUGGCGGGGGCGGCCUGGCUGAGAGGGUGGGUCCCUGACCCACACCUUGGGGCUCAUAGCCAGGGUGCCAAGGACUGGGUGGCUCACAUGCUUGGCCCUGGGAAGGGCGGGGCCAGCAUCCCAGCCGUCCCGUGCAGCCACUUCGUCUGAUGAUUUCAGACAGAAAGGUGGGAAGUCCAGCAGGCACCCCGUAAGCCCCCGGCUGGUUCAGCCGCCCGCAUUCUGCAGCGCGUGCUGCACUGUGCUGAUCUUGAGCCUUCUGAAUGUUUCAGGCACGAGGCCCAGCAGACUGUGGGUCCUGUUCCCACACAAAGGCAGGCGAGCACCCCAGCGCCACCAGGCAGAGCCCUUGGACCUCACCCCCCUAACUGCCCCUCCUAGCCUGCCCACCCCAGGCUUCGCAGCUAUUUUCCCAUCAGGUUCCUCCUCAAGGUCCACCAGGGCAGGCCCCAGCCGGCGUCCACGCUAAGUGCCUAGUUCCUGUAAACUGGGAUUUAGGCUUUUGGCAAGAUUUUCACAGGUGAUUCUGUUCCACCCUGUCCGUGCUAUGAGGUGAAGCUGGCUCUACCGCGCCAGUCAGGCUCAGGGGACCCCAUGCCCCCAGCCUGUCUGGGCAGCAGGAGGGAAGGACGCCCUGGGCUGAGUUUCCCAGAAGUGGGCAGAGGCUGCCGACAAGUGAUGCCCAAAGUCCCUGGGGGGCCGGUUCCUGGGAGUGAGGGUGACCGCACACUCAGAGAAUCCCCCGAACCCCUGGGCAAUUUGUAAGUAAUGGGACAAUCUGACAUUUGCUCAAGUUUUUAGGGGCAGAGAAAAUCCAGUUUUGUUUUAAGGUUACAAUAGAUGAAGCCACACAAGCCUGAACAGUAUGUGUUUAAGCAAAUCCUGAGCUCACAAGAAAUCCUGAAUAAAUGGCUCAACAGGACUGUAAAAGCCCCAUCUCUCUCACAUAACCUGCAGCAGUGAUAGGUCAACAACCCCACACGACGUGCUGGGAACGUGGCCAAAAUUCAAAAGCUCUGAGGUGGUGGUGGGGAGGGUAUAGCUCAGUGGUAGGGCGCAUGCUUACCAUGCAUAAGGUCAUGGGUUCAAUCCCCAGCACCUCUGUUAAGUAAAAAAAAAAUCAGUAAAUCUAGUUGCUUCCGUCCCCCCAAAUUCGAAAGCUUCAAACCAGCCCCUGCCCUGCCUCUGGCUCUGUUCUCAGACACCCAGACUCUGCUCCUCGGAUGGAGAAUUUCUGCUUAGAACCCUCCCUCCACAGUGGGCGGGAGGGAGCCUUCAGGGUGCCCCUCCUCCCUGACAGGCCUCAGGGCACACACCCUCCCCAGCUGUGCCCCAAGUUUCCCUGUCACAGCCCCUUCCCCGGCCACCUGCCUCCGUCCUCAACCCACCUGCUCUUCCCUGCAAAGCGUGCUUCCUAUCUGCACACCUGGGUUCUCUGAACUGGCCUUUUGCGGUGGGUCCCCCAGCACCCCCCACCCUGCUCACCAGUCACCCACGUGGCACAGACGCCCUUGGGAUGCCGUGGAUGACGGUGGGCAUCUGAACUCGGUGCGCACCAUCGGAACCCUCCAACAGGUUUGCACUGGUGGGCUUUCUCCUUCCGGUGACGACAGCACUGCCUCGGGGAGCCUCAGGGAGGGGCCCACUCUCUCCCGCUCCUGGGCAUUUGCGGACUUGAUGCCGGAGCCGCCUGCUCUCUGCUGGGGCUGCUGCACCGAGGCAGGCACAGAGGCUCUGCCCUGCAGGUCUUUACCUGUGGGGAAAGUGAGAUCAGAGAGGGGGCGGCCACAGGCCACCACCCUGCCUGCCGGCCACCUCACCUGCACUUCGGAGAGCUGCAUCUCCUGGGCCAGCCGCCGGCGCUCCAGGGGCCCCAGGUAG